rnacentral:misc_RNA from 2 species
CUGCCCUCAAGCACGGCUUGUGUGUUGGGCAACGCGGUCCGCCGCGUGCCUCAAAUCGACCGGCUGGGUCUUCUGUCCCCUAAGCGUUGUGGAAACUAUUCGCUAAAGGGUGUUCGGGAGGCUACGCCGUAAAACAACCCCAUUUCUAA